rnacentral:lncRNA from 1 species
AUGGUUUUUCAAAAUCCCAUCAUUUGCUACGUUCCUCUCCUCUGCCCAAAGAAGCAUGAUUUAAAAAAAAAAAAAAAAAAAAAAAAAGGUUUGGAUUUCCUUUUCCAAGGGACUGAAAGCCAGCCCUUUUCUCUGGUAUCUAAACUCCUCCCUCCAAGUCACCUUGUGAACACAGUAUGCCUCAGUCUCCCCAUCUCACCUGAGAUGCAGGUAAGUCUACACCAUCUUACCGGAGACACGAAACUGCGGCUGAAACUGCAGCUGCGGGCAGGUCCCACCCCCCCCUCUCCCCCCCCCCCGCCGGGACCGAGCAUCACCGGAGCCCCGGGGGCCCGAGCAUUACCGGAGCGGGGGGGGGGGGGGGGGGGGUACCGAGCAUCACCGGAGCCCCGGGGGCCCGAGCAUCACCGGAGCGGGGGGGGGGGUACCGAGCAUCACCGGAGCCCCGGGGGGCCCGAGCAUCACCGGAGCGGGGGGGGGGGGGUACCGAGCAUCACCGGAGCCGGGGCGCACGCGCGGGGAGGGGCCCCCAGAGGCCGGGGGCGGCGCGGGCGGGGUUCCCGGGGCGGCCGGGCCGGGCGCGCGUGGAGCGGUGGUUGCCCCGCGGCCGAGGUGCGCGCGGGAGAGGAGCCGUCGGGCGGCCCCCAAGUCCCGGGCCGGGGAGCGGGGGAGCACCGAGGAGUUUCGGGGCCGGGGGCCACGAGUGCCUUUGCACCCCGUGUCCCUGGCCAUACGCGGGCGCCCCGGGGCGGAAGGGCGCGUGGAGGAUGCGCAGGCGGGGGCCCGGGGCGCACGCGGCAGCCCACCCGCGAGCCGGGAGCCGGGAGCCGGGAGCCGGGAGCCCGGAGCCCGGGGCGGCCCCUGCGCGGGGCCGGGGCGGCGCGGGGCGGGGCGCUCGCUCACCUUCAGCACCAGCACCUCGAGCAUCUUCCCGCGCCCCUGCCGGGCCUCCGGGCCUCCGGGCCGCCGCUCCCUCGCAAGGCCGGGUGCCGGCCGAUCCCGCCGUCGGGGCCCCGCAGGCCCGCCCGUCCGCGCCCUGGGGCUCGGCCACCGCGCACGCCUCGAGCCUUCCAGAAGGCCCGCCCGCCAACGGCCCGGGCAACCGCCGGCCUCCCUGCGCAGGGGGCGGCGGGCGGGGCGGGGCGGGGCGGGGCCCGGGUCACGUGGCCGCCCCGACCCCCGCGGGCUCCCCCCGCCCCCCUCUCCGACCCACCUGGAGGCCUCAGGGGUCAGGAAGCCGCGCGCAGGCCGCCAAUGCAGAGCUGGGGACACCCCCCUCCCCGCACCCCCACCCCCUCCACCUCCUCCUCCUGCUUCGGUCCCAGAUUUCCUCCCACCUGGCCCUUAGGUGGCAGGGCUCCCCCAGACUGUCGCUGGCCACUCCGGUCACCAAACCGCAGCCCCCCUGGACGGGGGCUCCAACCCGCGCGUGUUGAUGUUGUUGGGGCGCCCAGGAGUUCUCUAAAUUUGGAACACCUGGACGCCUCAGUUUUUCUCACCUAA